rfam:Populus trichocarpa isolate Nisqually-1 chromosome 1, whole genome shotgun sequence.
AAAUUUAUCUGGAACAAAUUAUCAUCUAGUUAUGACAAAUUCAUAUGUAAAUGUUUAAAAUUACCAGUUAUUUCAAGUUCGGCUAGAUCAAUAAUACUUGGGUUGUUUUUUUUUAAUAUAAA